GGUUCGAUUAUGGCUCAGAUUGAACGCUGGCGGGAUGCUUUACACAUGCAAGUCGAACGGCAGCACGGACUUCGGUCUGGUGGCGAGUGGCGAACGGGUGAGUAAUGUAUCGGAACGCUCAGGCGUGGGGGGAUAACUACAGCGAAAGCGUAGCUAAUACCGCAUACGCCCUUCGGGGAAAGCGGGGACCUUCGGGCCUCGCACUAUUAGAGCGUACGAUAUCGGAUUAGCUAGUUGGUGGGGUAACGGCCUUACCAUGACGAUCCGUAGCUGGUUUGAGGACGACCAGCCACACUGGGACUGAGACACGCCCAGACUCCUACGGGAGGCAGCAGUGGGCCUGACAGUGGGGAAACCCUGAUCCAGCCAUCCUGGCGUGCGAUGAAGGCUCGCUGUAAAGCACCCUUGGCAGGGGAAAGAAACGGCACGAUACCUCGUGCAACUGACGGUACCUGCAGAAUGGGCACCACACCACGCCAGCAGCUGCGGUAAUACGUAGGGUGCAAGCGUUAAUCGGAAUUACUGGGCGUAAAGCGUGCGCAGGCGGUUCGGAAAGAAAGAUGUGAACCAGAGCUUAACUUUGGAACUGCAUUUUUAACUACCGAGCUAGAGUGUGUCAGAGGGAGGUGGAAUUCCGCGUGUAGCAGUGAAGGUGUAGAUAUGCGGAGGAACACCGAUGGCGAAGGCAGCCUCGGGAUAACACACGCUCAUGCACGAAAGCGUGGGAGCAAACAGGAUUAGAUACUCCUGGUAGUCCACGCCCUAAAACGAUGUCAACUUAGCUGUUGGGGCCUUGGCCUUAGUAGCGCAGCUAAUCGUGAAGUUGACCGCCUGGGGAGUAAUACGGUCGCAAGAUUAAAACUCAAAGGAAUUGACGGGGACUCCACAAGCGUGAUGAUGGAUUAAUUGAUGUAACGCGAAAAACCUUACCUACCCUUGACAUGUCUGGAAUCCUGAAGAGAUUUGGGAGUGCUCGCAAGAGAACCGGAACACAGGUGCUGCAUGGCUGUCGUCAGCUCGUGUCGAGAUGUUGGGCGUUGAGUCCCGCAACGAGCGCAACCCUUGUCAUUAGUUGCUACGAAAGGGCACUCUAUCGACUGCCAGGACAAACGGAGGAAGGUGGGGAUGACGUCAAGUCCUCAUGGCCCUUAUGGGUAGGGCUUCACACGUCAUACAAUGGUCGGGACAGAGGGUCGCCAACCCGCGAGGGGGAGCCAAUCCCAGAAACCCGAUCGUAGUCCGAUCGCAGUCUGCAACUCGACUGCGUGAAGUCGGAAUCGCUAGUAAUCGCGGAUCAGCAUGUCGCGGUGAAUACGUUCCCGUUCCGUACACACCGCCCGUCACACCAUGGGAGUGGGUUUUACCAGGAAGUAGUUAGCCUAACCGUAAGGAGGGCGAUUACCACGGUAGGAUCUAUGACUGGGGUGAAGUCGUAUCAAGGUAA
rnacentral:rRNA from 1 species